UACGGGGGGGCAAGCGUUGUUCGGAAUUACUGGGCGUAAAGGGCUCGUAGGCGGCCACUAAGUCAGACGUGAAAUCCCUCGGCUUAACCGGGGAACUGCGUCUGAUACUGGAUGGCUUGAGUUUGGGAGAGGGAUGCGGAAUUCCAGGUGUAGCGGGUGAAAAUGCGUAGAUAUCUGGAGGAACACCCGGUGGCGAAGGCGGCAUCCUGGACCAACACUGACGCUGAGUGAGCGAAAGCCAGGGGAGCAAACGGG
rnacentral:rRNA from 1 species